rnacentral:rRNA from 1 species
AACGAACGCUGGCGGCAUGCCUAACACAUGCAAGUCGAACGAUGCCUUCGGGCUUAGUGGCGCACGGGUGCGUAACGCGUGGGAAUCUGCCUUUCGGUUCGGAAUAACUCAGGGAAACUUGAGCUAAUACCGGAUAACGUCGCAAGACCAAAGAUUUAUCACCGAAAGAUGAGCCCGCGUAGGAUUAGCUAGUUGGUGAGGUAAAGGCACACCAAGGCGACGAUCCUUAGCUGGGCUGAGAGGAUGAUCAGCCACACUGGGACUGAGACACGGCCCAGACUCCUACGGGAGGCAGCAGUGGGGAAUAUAGGACAAUGGGCGAGAGGCUGAUCCAGCAAUGCCGCGUGAGUGAUGAAGGCCUUAGGGUUGUAAAGCUCUUUUACCCGGGAAGAUAAUGACGGUACCGGGAGAAUAAGCCCCGGCUAACUCCGUG